GCAGUCAUGGCCGAGUGGUUAAGGCGAUUGGGGUUGGGGUCUCCCCGCACAGGUUAGAAUCCUGUCGACUGCG
rnacentral:tRNA from 2 species